rnacentral:rRNA from 1 species
UACGUAGGUGGCAAGCGUUAUCCGGAAUUACUGGGCGUAAAGCGCACGCAGGCGGCUAGUCAAGUUCGACGUGAAAUCUCCCGGCUCAACUGGGAGGGGUCAUUCGAUACUGGCGGGCUCGAGGCCGGUAGGGGGAAGCGGAAUUCCCGGUGUAGUGGUGGAAUGCGUAGAUAUCGGGAGGAACACCAGUGGCGAAGGCGGCUUCCUGGACCGGUUCUGACACUGAGGAGCGAAAGCGUGGGGAGCGAUCCGG